GACGAAGGAUGCAAGCGUUAUCCGGAUUCAUUGGGUUUAAAGGGAGCGUAGGCGGAUUGGGAAGUCAGUGGUGAAAUCUUUGGGCUUAACCCAGAAACUGCCAUUGAUACUGCUGAUCUAGAGUACAGUUGCCGUUGGCGGAAUAUGACAUGUAGUGGUGAAAUACUUAGAUAUGUCAUAGAACACCGAUUGCGAAGGCAGCUAACGAAGCUGUAACUGACGCUGAGGCUCGAAAGUGCGGGGAUCAAACAGG
rnacentral:rRNA from 1 species